GUAGAGACAGGGUUUCACCAUUGUAAACCCAGGAAAUCUGACAAGUCUCAGUUAAUUUAGAAAGCUUACUUUGCCAAGGGUGAGGACGCGCACCCGUGACCCAGCCUCAGGAGGUCCUGAUGACGUGUGCCCAAGGUGGGCAGAGCACAGUCUGGCUUUAUACAUUGUAGGGAGACAUGAGACAUCAGUCAGCAUAUACAGGACGAACAUUGGUUCGGUCUGGAGAGGCAGGAUGGCUCGAAGCAAAGGCAGGAAGACUCCAAGUGGGGAGGGGACUUCCAAGUCACAGGCAGGUAAGAGACAAAUGGUUGCAUUCUUUGGAGUUUCUGAUGAGCCUCUCCAAAGGAGGCAGUCAGAUACGCAUUUAUCUCAGUGAACAGAGGGGAGACUUUGAAGAGAAUGGGAAGCACGUUGGCCCUAAGCAGUUCCCAGCUAGACUUUUCCUUUUAACUUAGUGAUUUGGGGGCCCCAAGAUUUAUUUUCCUUUCAGACUAUGUUGCCUGUGUUGGUUUUGAACUCCUGGGCUCAAGCGAUCUACCCACCUCAACCUCCCAAAGUGCUGGGAUUACAGGCAUGAGCCACCAUGCCUGGCCACAUACUCUCUUCUUAUGUAAAUGAAAUUGAUAAUAUGUCUGCUAGGAUUAUAGGCAUGAGUCACCAUGUCCAGCCAUAAUUUUUUUAAGGCAACUUGUUUUUCUUGAAAUUUCAGUGUGGUAAAUUUAAUAUCCAUAGAUAAAUUUCUCUUCACUCCUUCAUUAUUUUGAAUUAUUUCUAAAUGUAGUUACAUUAACUAGUGAAACUGGCAUAAACAGGUUUGAGAGCAAGUAAAACUGAGUCUUACUAAGCACACAUCAUCACUGGUGGGGAUCGGUGUUCAGGGCACACUAGAAGGCACUCUGCUCAUGACAUCAAUUAAUAUUUUACUGUGGGGGUGGAGACUUGGUCAUUCAUCAGGUCGUUUAUGGAGGUCAGUGAUAGUGCUUUGUGUUCUGCCACCCUUUGUUUACCCAGUCCCGGACUGAACCAAUGCAAAUGUUUAAUCUUCUGACUCUACAAAAAUGCUACAGUGCACAUCAGGCACACUGCAGAGACACUGCAGGUUUGUGAUACCACCACAAGAAAGCCUGACAUCCCAAUAAAGCACAUCACAUGAGUUUUACGUUUCCCAGUGCAUAUAAAAGCUGUAACAUGUUUAGAAAAACAAUGGUAUAUACUUUAAUUUAAAAUAAUGGUUAAGGCUGGGCGCAGUGGCUCAGGCCUGUAAUCCAGCACAUUGGGAGGCCAAGGCGGGAGAGUCACUUGAACCCGGGAGGUGGAGGUUGCAGUAAGCCAAGAUCAAGACUGUGCCACUGCACUCCAGUCUGGGCAACUGAGUGAGACUCCAUCUCAAAAAAUAAUAAUAAAAUAUUGGUUAAAAAAUGCUCAUGAUCAUUGAGCCUUCAGCAAGUCUUAAUCUUUUUGCUGCUGGAAGGUCUCGCUUUGAUGUUGAUGGCUGCUGACUGAUCAGAGCAGAGGUUGCUACAUGUUGGGGUGACUGGCAAUUUUGUAAAAUCAGACAACAAUGAAGUUUACUGCAUUGAUUGACUCUUCCACAAAAGAUUUCUCUGUAGCACGUGAUGUUGUUUGAUUGCAUUUUCCCACAAUAGAACUACUUUCAGAAUUGGACUCAAUCCUCUCAAACACUGCCAUUGCUUUAUCAGCUAAGUUUAUGUAAUAUUCUAAAUCCUCUGUUGUCAUUUCAACAAUGUUCACAACAUCUUCAUUCAGCAUCUACUUCCUGAGUAGAUUCUAUCUUAGGAAACCACUUUCUCUGCUCAUCCAUAAGAAGCAACUCCUCAUCUGUUCACGUUUUAUCAUGAGAUUGCAGCAAUUCAGUCCCAUCUUCAGGCUCCACUUUUAAUUCUAGUUCUCUUGCUGUUUCUACCACACUUGCAGUUGCUUUCUCCACUGAAGUCUUGAACCCCUCAAAGUCAUGGCAUCCGGAAUGGUGAAUCCUUUACAGGAGGUUUUCAAUGGACUUUGCCCAAAUCCAUGAGAGGAAUAACUAUCUAUGGCAGCUGUAGCCUUAAAAAUAAUUUCUUAAGUAUUAAGUCUUGAAAGUCGAAAUUACUUCUUGAUCCAUGGGCUGCAGAAUGGCUGUUAGCAGGCAUGAAAACAACAUUCAUCUCCUUGUACAUCUCCAUCAGAGCUCUUGGGUGACCAGAUGCUUUGCCAAUCAGCAGUAAUGUUUUGAAAGGAAUCUUUUUUUUUUUUCUGGGCAGUAGAUCUUAACGGUGAGCUUAAAAUACUCAGUAAAUCGUUUUAAACAGAUGUGCUGUCAUCCAGGCUUUGUUUCAUUCAUACAGCACAGGCAGAGUAUAUUUAGUGUAAUUCUUCAGACCCCUAGGAUUUUCAGAAUGGUAAAUGAGCAUUGGCUUUAACAUAAAGUCACUGGCUGCACUAGCCCCUAACAAGAGAGUCAGCCUUUUGAAGCUUUGAAGGCUUCUCUUAGAAGCGAUCUAGCUAUUGGCUGGGCGCAGUAGCUCACGCCUGUAAUCCCAGCACUUCGGGAGGCUGAGGUGGGCGGAUCACGAGGUCAGGAGAUCGAGACCAUCCUGGCUAACACGGUGAAACCCCAUC
rnacentral:lncRNA from 1 species